rnacentral:lncRNA from 1 species
CAUAUAUUCGGCCUAUCCGGACGUCGGGUACCAUUGCUAGAUGGUCACAUCGAUUAGUGUAGGAAGUCGUUCCUAUACUACCGGCUUAGGUUCGAACCUAUGAGGUCACACACAUAGAAGAUUCCUGAUUGAUCAAGAAGACUGAUGAAUGAUUAAGAAUCAUUCAGGGGUAAUUUGGUCAAUUCGAUUGGCAAAUUAUCUUAUAAAAUAAUUAAAGUAAUUAUCGGAG